GUUCCUGUAGUGUAGUUGUUAUCACGGUCGCUUAACACGCGAUUGGUCCUUGGUUCGAAACCGAGCAGGAAUA